CAAAGGGGGACUCCACAACACAAAGCUAGAUGUGCCCUCUCAAACUUUUUCCACGACGCACGGCGACGCGCAAAGAGCUAAACACCCCCAGGUGGAUUUUAACACCAGAUUAACCAGCAAAGCGUUUGUCUCCUGUUGGAGGUUAUGGCAAAAAGAAGGAGAAGUGGAAAUAACAUGGAAGAUGUACAGAGUCACCUAUCAAGUGGCUUUUAAGACGCAGAGGAGGAUUAAGAGACUGUGCAGUUUUCUUUUGGAGAAGGUGAAGACUCUUCUCAGAAGGAUUUAAACUUCAGGAGCAGCAGUGCCAAGCGGGAUGCAUUUUAGGCAGACUUGGAACUCUGAAACUCAUGGAGACUUUGAGGAUUAUAAAAAAUAUGUAGUGUGUCUCUCCACAAGACAACUUUCCAGCCCAAAGUCACUGGGAUAGCAGGAUAUUGCAUUUGUGAUCCUCCUCGGCCCUUCGCAUGGGGAGUGUGGGAGUGGUGAGGUCUGGGAGAUCACGACCUUAAUUCUCUCCAAGACAGACGGUUUAAUUAACACUGGAGGAAUCCUCACUGGCUCCAGACCUCUACAAUGGGAAUGUGCACGGGAAUUGGAUUGCCAAGCUACAUUCUUUCCAACCCCCACAACCCAUGGCUGUGCAGCUAUACCCACUGAUGAAGCAACAAUGCAGACAGAACUUUAGGCCCCCUUCUACGUAGUCCACAUUGCGAGAAGACCACCUCACAAGGAUUUUCCCCUUCACCAGGUGUGGCAGAGUGAGAGUCAGAGAGAUCACCUGGUCUAGACUGGAACUGUCAGGAUCCUCAAAGAAACCUGUGUGGAAAUGGAGAAGUUUAUGAAGAUAAAGAGGAAAACAGCUUGAUGGAGAAAAAAACUGUUAAAUGAUGUCUAUUUGUCACAUAUAAGGUAACAUCUAAUUGUCAUCAUACGUUGUCCUCCAACUGGAUCUCAUGUAUUUCACUUUAAAUAUAUGAGCAACAAUCUGGUGGCUUUGGAGCUUUUGGAUGUGCAACUACUAAGGGUUAUGAAGUGUUACUUUUUGCAGGAUAUCACUAGCUAAAAAUAAAUUAUUAUUAUUAUUGUUAUUUAUCAAUUGCAUAUUCAAGACCACAGUGUGUUUUACCAUAUGUGUGUUAUGAUAGAUUUGAAAUGUUCACUGAUAGAAACUGCUGUUUAUUUGCUGUCCACACUUUCCUCCACAAUACUGUACUUGCUCCCUCUUACAAAGCGUAGCUUUUUCAUAAUGCUUAUCAAGUAUGUGUAUGUGAGAACACAUGUGGUCAGGACAAUGUAAGCAUCUAAGGAUUCACAGACCCUAGUGUCUGGUACAAUAACAUAUUUAUGAAUGAGCACUGUAUCUGUUAAGAAGUAAUGAUCCCAAUUUGGUCACAGGAGAACAAAGGCAACAUUAAGGACAUGUGCUCAUGCAAUAUGUAAAGCUCUGUGGAGAAAUGCUCCCCGCCUGUACUGCUCUCAUGUGACGAUAUAUGUACAGCGUUUCCCUUUUUAUCAUCGCUACAUAGAUUAUUAAUGAAUAUUAUAUUGUUCUGUCAAACAUCGAAGUGAUAUAAUGUUGAAUAAAGAAUGUUAAUGUUUUCUCAACAGACUCAUGACAACAUGGGACUACAUUUGUAUUAUGACAAUAUACCAGCAGUGUAGGAAUUGUCCACCGUAGAGUAACUCCGCAACAUCUUCCACAUCUGUACUUUAAAGCCCUUUAAGUGGCUAAGAGUUGAGUGCUUUGCUAUAAAGUGAACAUUGUGUCAUAUAUACAAUGGUGUUUUAAAAAUUAAAGAUAAUGUCUUCUUCUCAACACAAUCACCACUAAAAGAUUAUUCCUCUGUAUUUCUGCACAACAUUUCAUGGCAAUCCAUUUCAUAGUUUUUGACAUAGUUCAGUCAGGAGCAAAGCGGCUAAAAUAUAGCUUUUAGAGUUUUAUACCAGUUAGACAUGGAAGAAAACAAUAUUUGUUCUUCUAUGUAAUGAAAGAAAAUGUAGAGAAUCCAAAAUACUUGCUAGCCCUAUCACGACCUUGCAGUGAACAGUUUUGAAGCCUCCCUAUCUGCCUCCCUCCAUCUUUGUCUGUGGUUACUAACCCCAGCUAUAGUGGUCAGACAUGGGCCUCCUAUGUUUUCCAUAGACAGUUUAUCACACUUCCUUUCCCUCUGCUCUGGGCCCCCAGUCAUUCUGCCAGACAGGAAAAUCAAAGACUUUGGGACAUACCAUUACAGUGCAAAUGGUAUAUUGCACUGUACAGCAUGCUGAUGAUAUAUAACAUUAAAGUCUAACUAGUAAACACAAAACAGGACGGAGGCCUGAGCUGAAUUUUUCAUUAACAGCCCUCACAAGUGAACAUUAAUGUCUGAAUCACACAUUGGAUUGAUUGAAAGUAAGUCAAAAAGGGGCCCUAUACAUAUUGGAUGGUAUGGAAUUGAAUGGUGGGUAGAAAUGAUUUUACUUGUCUGUGAUUGUUAUUGUGUUGGGACUGUAUGGAGUUGAAUUUUUAUGAAAUAAAGUGUUGAAUAAAUCA